rnacentral:rRNA from 1 species
ACUACGUUACCAUCAAGUUAAAGGUUGGGGACUCUCGGUCCGGACUCGCCACCGACGAAGGUGUGAAGGAAGGGUGGGAUGACGUACAAAUCAGCGACCGGUCCCUUACUCGUGGGCUACACACGUGUACAGUGGGGGGUACAGAAGGCCGCUUACCGGCGACGGUUGGCCAAUCCCUAAAGCCCCUCUCAGUUCGGACUGGAGUCUGCAACCCGACUCCACGAAGCUGGAUUCGCUAGUAAUCGCGCAUCAGCCACGGCGCGGUGAAUACGUUCCCGGGCCUUGUACACACCGCCCGUCGACGCGGCCG